UACGGAGGGUGCAAGCGUUGUCCGGAUUUAUUGGGUUUAAAGGGUGCGUAGGCGGCUUAUUAAGUCCGUGGUGAAAUCCAACAGCUCAACUGUUGAACUGCCAUGGAUACUGUUAGGCUUGAGUACAGACGAGGUUGGCGGAAUUGAUGCUGUAGCGGUGAAAUGCAUAGAUAGCAUCAAGAACACCGAUUGCGAAGGCAGCUUACUAGGCUGUUACUGACGCUGAGGCACGAAAGCGUGGGGAGCGAACAGG
rnacentral:rRNA from 1 species